rnacentral:rRNA from 1 species
AGAAUUUAGCAGAGAUGCUUUAGUGCCUUCGGGAACUCUGAGACAGGUGCUGCAUGGCUGUCGUCAGCUCGUGUUGUGAAAUGUUGGGUUAAGUCCCGCAACGAGCGCAACCCUUAUCCUUGUUGCCAGCACGUAAUGGUGGGAACUCAAAGGAGACUGCCGGUGAUAAACCGGAGGAAGGUGGGGAUGACGUCAAGUCAUCAUGGCCCUUACGAGUAGGGCUACACACGUGCUACAAUGGCGCAUACAAAGAGAAGCGACCUCGCGAGAGCAAGCGGACCUCAUAAAGUGCGUCGUAGUCCGGAUUGGAGUCUGCAACUCGACUCCAUGAAGUCGGAAUCGCUAGUAAUCGUAAAUCAGAAUGUUACGGUGAAUACGUUCCCGGGCCUUGUACACACCGCCCGUCACACCAUGGGAGUGGGUUGCAAAAGAAGUAGAUAGCUUAACCUUCGGGAGGGCGUUUACCACUUUGUGAUUCAUGACUGGGGUGAAGUCGUAACAAGGUAAGCGUAGUGCU